CAAGGCUUGACAUAUACGAGAACGGGCCAGAAAUGGUCAACUCUUUGGACACUCGUAAACAGGUGGUGCAUGGUUGUCGUCAGCUCGUGUCGUGAGAUGUUGGGUUAAGUCCCGCAACGAGCGCAACCCUCGUUCUAUGUUGCCAGCACGUCAUGGUGGGAACUCAUGGAAUACUGCCGGGGUCAACUCGGAGGAAGGUGAGGAUGACGUCAAAUCAUCAUGCCCCUUAUGUCUUGGGCUUCACGCAUGCUACAAUGGCCGGUACAAUGGGCUGCAAUACCGCAAGGUGGAGCGAAUCCCAAAAAGCCGGUCCCAGUUCGGAUUGAGGUCUGCAACUCGACCUCAUGAAGUCGGAGUCGCUAGUAAUCGCAGAUCAGCAACGCUGCGGUGAAUACGUUCCC
rnacentral:rRNA from 1 species